rnacentral:rRNA from 1 species
AGGACGAACGCUGGCGGUGCGCCUAACACAUGCAAGUCGAACGGUGAACCGGGCUUCGGCCCGGGGAUCAGUGGCGAACGGGUGCGUAACACGUGGGCAACCUGCCCCCGACCCUGGGAUAACCCCGGGAAACCGGAGCUAAUACCGGAUACUCUCCUCCGACCACAUGGUCAGAAGAGGAAAGGUCCGCCGGUCGGGGAUGGGCCCGCGGCCUAUCAGCUUGUUGGUGGGUAACGGCCUACCAAGGCGACGACGGGUAGCUGGUCUGAGAGGACGACCAGCCACACUGGGACUGAGACACGGCCCAGACUCCUACGGGAGGCAGCAGUGGGGAAUCUUGCGCAAUGGGCGAAAGCCUGACGCAGCGACACCGCGUGGGGGAUGAAGGCCUUUCAGGUCGUAAACCCUUUCGGCAGGGACGAAGCGAUCUACGUGACGGUACCUGCAGAAGAAGCCUCGGCUAACUACGUGCCAGCAGCCGC